rnacentral:misc_RNA from 1 species
GAGAGCCAAGAGAUCCGUUGCUGAAAGUUGUAUAUAAUGCGUUUAACGCAAUGACAUUCUAUAAACUGAGUGUAUGUAUAAAAUCAUAGGCAAGCUUAAACGAGACCGUAAGGUCAAGUCCAAAACCAACCUACAAAGAGUGCACAGGUGUGAAUGGAGAUGAGCAAGGCGUGCACAUGUCCCGAAAGACCAGCWACARUACCUCUUUCAAAUUCAAUAAUGAUCCUU